CACGUUUCUUGUACGAGUAUAAGCCUGAGUGCCAUUUCUCCAACGGCACGGAGCGGGUGCGAUUACUAGAGAGAUACAUCUAUAACCGUGAGGAGUACGUGCGCUUCGACAGCGACGUGGGGGAGUACCGCGCGGUGACCGAGCUGGGGCGGCCGAGCGCCCAGCACUGGAACGGGCAGAAGGACAUCCUGGAGCAGAGGCGGGCCGAGGUGAACAGGUUCUGCAGACACAACUACGGGGUUGUCGACAGCUUCACGGUGCAGCGACGAGGUGAGCGCGGCGGGGCGGCCGGGGCGGGCCGCGUGUUUAAGAGCAGCGUGUGUCGUGAAAGCGUGGACAGCGUGAGUGUGGUCGGGGGCGCCCGCGAGGCCAGGGUGGGCCAGAGAAGCUGCGUUCGGGACGCGCAGGAGACACUGUCCGGGGUGGGUGCGGGGGCGCAGCGGCAGCGCCUCACGUCGUCCCCGGUGGCCGCGGGGGCUGGAGAUGCAGGGAACG